UACAGAGGUCCCAAGCGUUGUUCGGAUUCACUGGGCGUAAAGGGCGCGUAGGCGGCCCACUAAGUCAGACGUGAAAUCCCCCGGCUUAACCUGGGAACUGCGUCUGAUACUGGAGGGCUUGAGUAUGGGAGAGGGAUGUAGAAUUCCAGGUGUAGCGGUGAAAUGCGUAGAUAUCUGGAGGAAUACCGGUGGCGAAGGCGGCAUCCUGGACCAUUACUGACGCUGAGGAGCGAAAGCGUGGGGAGCGAACAGG
rnacentral:rRNA from 1 species